rnacentral:lncRNA from 1 species
CGUCAAUUAUCUGAAAUGAGAGAAAUAAAGAGUUGAGAAUAAAUAUCAAUAAGUGUGCGUGAGUAAUAAAUUCAUAUAAAUAUUUCUACGACAAAAAUUCAUAAUUUCUUAGGGAACAAAAGAAUGAGACCGGACUUAGAUGGUGAUGAAUUUUCGUGCGUAGAGCUAAUAUACUCCGAUCCAUUGUGAAUAAAUCAUAUGUGAUAUGGACCAACAUAACCAUAUAAAUAUUACAUACAUCAACAUUAACCACAAUAAACAUAAAGUACACUUAAUUAUUUCAUGAAAUUAAUCGAAUAAUGAGGGAAACUUGCUUCGUGGAUUGUAAAUCAUGGAUUACGUGAGUGCAUAUAAUAUAUAUCGUGGAUGUGUUAGAGGGAUGAUUAGUGUAAUGAAUGUGUGUGAGGGCUCAAUUUAUAGUAAGGAUAUUGUAGCAAAGAUUUGGUCAAAUAUCAUUAUUGGGAUGAAAUUUGUGCAAUAUCAUUAACUUAGCCAAGAAUGCAUGGAGAAAAACUUUGGUGGACGAUCACACCGUCCUACGUGG